CCAUUAUCACGAGUGAACGAGAGAUCUGGCUCAAUGACUUCACAGCAGCCUCAUGAAAGGUGCUCCUACCAGCAAAGCAUAUUUGCUUUGGCUGAUAAGAU
rnacentral:ncRNA from 2 species